rnacentral:rRNA from 1 species
CCCGCACAAGCGGCGGAGCAUGCGGAUUAAUUCGAUGCAACGCGAAGAACCUUACCAAGGCUUGACAUACACCGGUAAGCCCAGAGAUGGGUGCCCCUUUGUGGUCGGUGUACAGGUGGUGCAUGGUUGUCGUCAGCUCGUGUCGUGAGAUGUUGGGUUAAGUCCCGCAACGAGCGCAACCCUCGUCCUAUGUUGCCAGCGGGUCAUGCCGGGGACUCAUGGGAGACUGCCGGGGUCAACUCGGAGGAAGUGGGGAUGACGUCAAAUCAUCAUGCCCCUUAUGUCUUGGGCUUCACGCAUGCUACAAUGGCCGGUACAAAGGGCUGCGAUACCGCGAGGUGGAGCGAAUCCCAGAAAGCCGGUCUCAGUUCGGAUUGGGGUCUGCAACUCGACCCCAUGAAGUCGGAGUCGCUAGUAAUCGCAGAUCAGCAACGCUGCGGUGAAUACGUUCCCGGGCCUU